GCCCGAUUAGCUCAGCUGGUUAGAGCGUCGUACUAAUAGUCACCUGUGUCUAUCAAGUAAUGCGAAGGUCAACAGUUCAAUCCUGUUAUUGGGCA